UACGUAGGCAGCGAGCGUUGUUCGGAAUUACUGGGCGUAAAGAGUGUGUAGGCGGUGCUCUAAGUUCGGUGUGAAAUCUCCCGCUUAACUGGGAGGGUGCGCCGGAAACUGGAGUGCUCGAGCGUGGGAGAGGAAAGCGGAAUUCCUGGUGUAGCGGUGAAAUGCGUAGAUAUCAGGAGGAACACCAAUGGCGAAGGCAGCUCGCUGGGACGUGACUGACGCUGAGACGCGAAAGCGUGGGGGAGCAAACAGG
rnacentral:rRNA from 1 species